CCUUAGGGGUCCUGAGAGGGAGAUCCCCCACACUGGUACUGAGACACGGACCAGAAUCCUACGGGAGGCAGCAGUGAGGAAUAUUGGACAAUGGGUGAAAGCCUGAUCCAGCCAUCCCGCGUGAAGGAUGACGGUCCUAUGGAUUGUAACUUCUUUUUGUACAGGGAUAAACCUACGCUCGUGAGGGUAGCUGAAGGUACUGUACGAAUAAGCACCGGCUAACUCCGUGCCAGCAGCCGCGGUAAUACGGAGGGUGCAAGCGUUAUCCGGAUUUAUUGGGUUUAAAGGGUCCGUAGGCGGGCCUGUAAGUCACGUGGUGAAAUCUCAUAGCUUAACUAUGAAACUGCCAUUGAUACUGCAGGUCUUGAGUAAAUUUGAAGUGGCUGGAAUAAGUAGUGUAGCGGUGAAAUGCAUAGAUAUUACUUAGAACACCAAUUGCGAAGGCAGGUCACUAAGAUUUAACUGACGCUGAUGGACGAAAGCGUGGGUAGCGAACAGGAUUAGAUACACUGGUAGUCCACGCCGUAAACGAUGCUAACUCGUUUUUGGAUUUUCG
rnacentral:rRNA from 1 species